UUGCUGGGUGAGCUGGAGGCGCUGACCGUCGUCUUUUCCCUCCUGGUUUUUGCCCUCGUCACGCUGGCCGGAAUGAUCCAUGAGGAACGUGGACGUCCUAUAAGGAUGUGCGUUUACCUGCACAAUGACGAGUUGAUUGUCUGAAGACCAGGACGGCAACCUCGCCAUAUUGAACUUCCUCCUCCAUUUGCGAGCCUGACGACAUGACAUCAUAGCCACGGGAGCCUCUUGAGUGUGUAUGUGAGGGAGUGUGUGUGUACAUUGCGCUAGGAGGGUGUGUUCAUAUUUGCUUCCGGGACUCAACCUGUGUGUUGUGAUUAAAGUUUCUUUUCUUUCUCCUCAUGUGUAUGGGAACUCUACACAUUGAGGUUGAGAUUUUUCUUGUGGUGAAAAAAUUCCAUGAAUGCUUCUUUCAUACAUACAUGGAAGUGCCUUUCUCCAGCUUUGAGCUGGCCUUCAUCGUGACGGCCUUUGUCGUCUUCACGCUCUUCGGCGUCGCCUCCGUCUGCAUCGCGCCGGACGAGGACCUGCGGACAGAUGAAGGUGUCAACACGGCUGCAAGAGGAAAGCAGAGAGCCAUCAGCAGGCAGACACAUAAA